CCACCGAGUCCCGUCCGCGAGAAACCUUUGCAGCCCGGUCACAUUGCCGUCGAGGAGGAGCCGCCGGAGCGAGAACCGCGGCCGGUGAAGCCGGGCCACCGACGGAUCGAGCAGGCGGGAGGAGCCCUGCGCUGCUGCGCCUUCAUCGAUCACGACACCGCCCCGUCCGCACUCCCGCUCAGCCCAGCCCAUGUAGGGCACCGCGAGUCCGCGACACAGCCCGUCCGCGCGCCGCCAGCUUCAUCCACGCGCGUGACCCGCGCCGGUGGCUGCCUCCCGCACGAGAAGUUAGCCGCCUGGGCCGUCUCGAGCAGCACGAGAGGAGGCUGAGCGAGCUGCAGGGGCGAGCCGCCGGGGCCGCGUGAGACUUCGCCGUGGCCGUCUCAUGAUCAAGACUUUAGAGAUUGAGUGUCCGUUCAUGGUGGCUGCGGCACCGGCGGGCCUCCGAACAAAUUCAAGCCAGGGAAGCCAGGAUGUGGCGAUCUAUGUCCGCUGGAGGCAAAGGUGAUCAGCUGGGACGGCGUGCACUUCACAGAUUUCAGCAGCGGGCUUGCUGCCAAGCUCGCGCGUCGCGAUGAGUGGCGAGUACUCCAAGCCCAGGGUGAAGCUGGCAAGCUUGAUACACUGCGGCUCCAAGAAAUAGUUAGAUUCUUGAUGCAGAUCAACGCUUCAUGACCUUUGAAUCCAUCAUCUAUGGAUGUAGUGAUGGCCAAGGACUGGAGAUGAGGGCUGUUGUGGUUGGAGAUGUUGCUUCAGACUUUCUCGACGUCGAUGGACUCCUUGUACAAAGAAGGCAAAGUAGCAAUGGAUAUGCUCGAUUACAACCAAACAAUUGGGAGGUCUUUUUUUUUUGGAUUUUGUUGUGCAGUGCUGAGUAGUAUAAAGAUAUUUUACCUUGAUGUACAUGUAUAGACUAGUUAUGAUAGUUACAAGCUCCCAUUGCUCCCA